AACGAACGCUGGCGGCAGGCUUAACACAUGCAAGUCGAGCGCCCCGCCAGGGGAGCGGCAGACGGGUGAGUAACGCGUGGGAAGCUAGCCAUCUCUACGGAAUAACGCAUGGAAACGUGUGCUAAUACCGUAUACGUCCUUCGUGAGAAAGAUUUAUGGGAGAUGGAAGAGCCCGCGUUGGAUUAGCUGGUUGGUGGGGUAAAGGCCUACCAAGGGGACGAUCGAUAGCUGGUCUGGGAGGAUGAUCAGCCACACUGGGACUGAGACACGGUGGAGACUCGUACGGGAGGCAGCAGUGUGGAAUGUUGGACGAUGGGCGGAAUCCUGAUCCAGCCAUGCUGCGUGAGUUAUGUAGGCCCUAGGGAUGUAAAGCACGUUCACCGGUGAAGAUAAUGACGGUACCCGGAGAAGAAGCCCCGGCUAACUUCGUGCCAGCCGCCGCCGUAAGAC
rnacentral:rRNA from 1 species